CUCACAGCUGAGUUUGGCUCCUGUACCUGAGCAUCAGGAGUGCUCACCAUGGUUGAAAGAGCCAGAAUCACUCUCUGGCCAGUCCUCGAGGCCUCUUCUGGCUUUGGUUUUGCUUCCCAUUAAGUUUCUUAGUUCAGGAGUGAAGAACAGGAGAAAAGAGAAAGCUGAAAUAUAUAGCUGUGAAAUAUGGCUUGCCGUGUCAACUAGCCAGUGCCUGCAGCCUAAAAGGAAUUUUGAGCACUGGCCUGCCAACCCCUCUAACUGCUGAGGCAACAAAUAAAGAAAACUCACUGCUGGAGGGCCCUGUGACU
rnacentral:lncRNA from 1 species